CCUACGGGAGGCAGCAGUAGGGAAUCUUCCGCAAUGGACGAAAGUCUGACGGGGCAACGCCGCGUGAGCGAAGAAGGUCUUCGGAUCGUAAAGCUCUGUUGUUAGGGAAGAACAAGUACGGGAGGAAAUGACCGUACCUUGACGGUACCUAACGAGGAAGCCACGGCUAACUACGUGCCAGCAGCCGCGGUAAUACGUAGGUGGCAAGCGUUGUCCGGAAUCACUGGGUGUAAAGGGUGCGUAGGCGGUAGGGCAAGUCAGAUGUGAAAGCCCGGGGCUCAACCCCGGGAUUGCAGUUGAAACUGUCUUACUAGAGUGCAGGAGAGGAAAGCGGAAUUCCUAGUGUAGCGGUGAAAUGCGUAGAUAUUAGGAAGAACACCAGUGGCGAAGGCGGCUUUCUGGACUGUAACUGACGCUGAGGCACGAAAGCGUGGGGAGCGAACAGGAUUAGAUACCCCAGUAGUC
rnacentral:rRNA from 1 species